rnacentral:tmRNA from 1 species
GGGGAUGAUCGGUUUCGACGGACGUUGUCGUACCCGGGUGGCGAGCCGAGGUGCGCUCCUCGUAAAUCAGCGCGCAGCACGGAAGUGCGAAGAAGAUCAACUGGAAUGCUGUCCCGAUGGCGGCUUGAUGCCGUCGGCAGCAUCCGCAGCGAAGAUGACUGCGGCGUCGCACAUCGCCUCUCGCCGGCGGGUGAUGAUGCGGCGUGAGAAAGCCGGCGGGCGCUCCGCCGAGGCUCGUAGGCGGGUAAGCGCCGGCUGAUCGCCAAACGCACGAGCUGGCGCGUGGUGAACCCUGUCGCUGGGGGUGCCGCGCGCGAGAACGAAACAGCGACUACGCUCGUAGGCACUCGAGGACGAGGCGUUACGGACCCGGGUUCGAUUCCCGGCAUCUCCACCU